AUACUUAUCUGACAGGGGAGAUACCAUGAUCAAUAAGGUGGUUCUCCCAGGAUGAGGUUAUCCGAUUGCACAUUGGGUGUACUGACACCUACAAUAUCUCCAAGGCCCAAACGCAGGAUACUCAACUGCAAAAUUUGUGAUGGUAGGAGACUGCAUUCGCACUUUAUUUGG